UACGGAGGGUGCAAGCGUUAUCCGGGUUCACUGGGUUUAAAGGGUGCGUAGGUGGGUUGGUAAGUCAGUGGUGAAAUCUCCGGGCUUAACCUGGAAACUGCCAUUGAUACUAUCAAUCUUGAAUACCUUGGAGGUGAGCGGAAUAUGUCAUGUAGCGGUGAAAUGCUUAGAUAUGACAUAGAACACCAAUUGCGAAGGCAGCUCACUACACGGUCAUUGACACUGAGGCACGAAAGCGUGGGGAUCAAACAGG
rnacentral:rRNA from 1 species